GGGCCCGGCCCGGCCCUCGCUGCCGCCGCCGCCAUGUUGGGGAGGUCGCGGCCUGCGGGCCGGCCGGCGGGCGGCCGGGGAGCCCACCAGAAAACCCACGGGAUUUAGGUGCACGCAGCUCCUCGUGUGGCAUCGACGGGGUUUAGACACGCGGGGGUCCCAGUGUAGGAUCUACGCAACCUUAGAUGUGCAAGGUAGUGCAGUGUCUAUGGGCUUUGGAGACACGGGUCCCGAUGUAGGAUCUAUGCGACCUUAGACGUACAUAGCACAGUGCCCAAUGUAGUGUCUGUGGGCUUUAGACACGCAGGGAUCCCCAUGUAGGAUCUAUGUGACCUUAGACAUGCAUACACAGUGCCCAAUGUAGCAUCUACGGGCUUUAGAGACGCGGGGGUCCCGAUGUAGCAUCUACACGACCUUAGACAUGCAUAACGCAGUGCCCAGUGUAGUGUCUAUGGGCUUUAGAGACACAAGGGUCCCAAUGUAGGAUCUAGGCAACCUUAGACAUGCAUAACACAGUGCCCAGUGUAGUGUCUAUGGGCUUUAGAGACACAAGGGUCCCAAUGUAGCACCUGCACAACCUUAGAUGUGCAUACACAGUGCCCAAUGUAGUGUCUAUGGGCUUUAGAGAUGCAGGGGUCCUGAUGUAGCAUCUACACGACCUUAGACAUGCAUAGCACAGUGCCCAACGUAGUGUCUAUGGGCUUUAGACACACGGGGGUUCCCAUGUAGGAUCUAUGUGACCUUAGACAUGCAUACACAGUGCCCAAUGUAGUGUCUAUGGGCUUUAGACACACGGGGGUCCCGAUGUAGGAUCUAUGUGACCUUAGAUAUGCAUACACAGUGCCCAAUGUAGCAUCUACGGGCUUUAGAGACGCGGGGGUCCCGAUGUAGCAUCUACACGACCUUAGACAUGCAUAACACAGUGCCCAGUGUAGUGUCUAUGGGCUUUAGAGACACAAGGGUCCCAAUGUAGGAUCUACGCAACCUUAGACAUGCAUAACACAGUGCCCAGUGUAGUGUCUAUGGGCUUUAGAAACACAAGGGUCCCAAUGUAGCACCUGCACAACCUUAGAUGUGCAUACACAGUGCCCAAUGUAGUGUCUAUGGGCUUUAGACACGCAGGGGUCCCAAUGUAGGAUCUAUGCAACCUUAGACAUGCAUAGCACAGUGCCCAAUGUAGUGUCUAUGGGCUUUAGAAACACAAGGGUCCCAAUGUAGCAUCUGCACAACCUUAGAUGUGCAUACACAGUGCCCAAUGUAGUGUCUAUGGGCUUUAGACACGCAGGGGUCCCGAUGUAGGAUCUAUGCAACCUUAGACAUGCAUAGCACAGUGCCCAAUGUAGUGUCUAUGGGCUUUAGAAACACAAGGGUCCCAAUGUAGCAUCUGCACAACCUUAGACGUGCAUAGCAUGGUGCCCAACGCAGCGUCUAUGGGCUUUAGACACGCAGGGGUCCCGAUGUAGGAUCUACGCGACCUUAGACAUGCCUGGUUCUCAGUGUAGCACCUACACAGCUGUAGAUGCAUCGUGCCCAAUGUAGCGCCUAUGGGCUUUAGACACACAAAGCCACAUCCUGCAGAUGGGAUUAGUCCACGGGCCAAAUCCAGUGUGGGAUGAUCAGCAUCCAGAUCUUUCCAUGGGUGCAAUCCAGGACAAACCCGCAUGCUGGAUCUGACUGCAGAGUAACCUGGGUGCUGACACAAUCUGGCGCAGGGAGCCAUGUCAUCUAGCUUGCAGGGCUCCCCACGGUGUGGAAAUUGUGGGGGGGAAGCAGUGGCAGCAUUAAUGUCACUGCCACCGAAUUUCCAGACCCGUGGGGUGCCCCAUGGGCAGGACGGCAUGGCCCCGUGGGCCGCAUUCGACCCGUUGGUUGGAGGUUGAGCACUCCUGUUCCCGAGCACUAGCCAGCCUGUUGCGGUGUGCUCGGUAUGAAAUGGCAAUGGCAUGCCAAGAGGGAUGCCAAAGCACGCUCCUCUAGGGAGGACCAAGCCAGACCCAUGUCAGAUGCAAAAUACCAACACGCAGGAGUUAACGGAGUUCCCUAAGUUUCGUGGUUAUGGGAUCACAGCUGUGUGUUGAGCAGUGAGGUGGUUGCUGCGGUCUGUGGUCAAAGCUGUUUUGUCUGCGUGACAUCCUGGAGAGCGGCACAGGUGCUAAAUGGCUAUUUCAUGGGACAAGGCAGUGCUUUCCCACCUGGGACUUCUGCCCAGGAUGAGACCUCUUGUUCCUACCACAGUUCAGGAAAACGGGACAGUGUGCGUGAAAUGCAAAUGGCACUAAGAGUGUCUACUACCAGGAAUAGAAACUGCAGAACUGCAAGUACCUACUGCCACUUACCCAAGGAUGAAACAAUGAAAAGUAUUGACGUGAAACCUAAUAAUUUCUUAUUAUUGAUAUAUUACUAUUAUGCCCAGGCACCUCUGAAGAAGGCGGCAUAGAUAUGCCCCUUGUGACUAAUUAAAUAAGCGACACAAGAUCAGAGCCUUGUUUUGCUGCGUGCUGUAUGGACAUAAAAGAUAGUUCCCGCCCCAGACAGAAUGCAGCCUAAAUGGGGAUUAAGGCAUGACAGGGCAUCCAAAACAUGUACGAGUAGGAGGAAGGAGGCACAGAAUAAAAGGGUUUGCAUAUUGUGAGCACUGUAGUACAACUGGGGCUAACAAGGGGACUUGAAGAAGAGAGAUUUGGUUGGGAAGUUGUUAGGGGGUGGGGGUUCCCCCACAUAUAAGAGGCAGCAUAAAAAACAGCAAAAGAGGUGUCUGCGGGGUCAGGGGGGGACAACGUAUCAAGAGAAAAGGCGGGAUCAUUGGCAGGGAAAAGGGCACAGAGAUGAGUCUGUAGCUAUCACAACCCCCGUAAACACUCGUAGAAGAAACAGCUAAACAUGGAGUGACAAGACACUUUUACACUUCCAUAAAUGAUUUAUGAAGUGUUCAUGGAAAUGAGGUGGAAAAUGAAUUCCAAAUUUACAGUCUGCUGAGGAAAAUAUCUGUGGUAAUGAUCUUAAUUUAUAUAGUACAUUCCAUUCUCCAGGGUCCUUGGAGCACAGUUGGAUUCAACAGCAGUUUAGACAUCUGCAUAAAAGUCAUCAUAUUAGCCAAGUGUGUCAAUACCUUUCUGAUGGGGAUGUCCAGAGCUGAUUGCACUAUUCCACGUCGAGUUCAACCAGAGCCAGCUCAGGGCGAGCUGUUCAGUGCCUCCUCUCUGUUCUGGGAUUCGUUACCUCUGCGUGAAGGGUGAACUCGUCUCAAGCGGUAGGAGGGCACGUUCUGAGCAUGAAACAGAAGCAGAGGUCUGGGUUUUGAGUCCAAGGAUAAGGAUUUUGAUGUCUGCCCCUGAGGGUCUUAUUUAGAUGCCCAACCUGAAUGUCAUCAGCUCCAUUCCAGGGCAGCUCAGGGGUUGAACCAUGCUGUCACGGCAGGCUUGGAGCGGUGAUCCGGUGGCCCAGCUCUGCUCUCUUCCAAGGCCAGGUUACUCAAACAGGAAUGCUAACUCUACUCUUCAUUUCCCCUGUGUGGUCAGUGGAUCCUCCCUUCCUCCACAGGACCAUCUAGCUGCAAAGAGACGAGGUUCUGCCCAGUCCACCAGUCAUCUCCAACUGACCUGAUCUAUUCUCCCUCCAACUCUGACAGUGGCUGCAGGUAGAGCAGGGCAGAGAUAGCUGGCUCAGAGCCUCCCUUCAGUCCUUUUUCAUAGAUUUCACAGACAUCAGGGCUGGAAGGGACCUCGCAAGAUCAUCAGGUCCAGCCCCCUGCCCAAAGGGGCAGGAAGAUAAAUGUCCAAAUGUUUCUUGAAAAUGUCCAGAGUCGGUGCUUGCACCACCUCUGCAGGGAGUUUGUUCCAGGCCUUGGGGGCUCAGACGGUAAAGAAGUUUUUCCUUAUGUCCAGCCUAAAAUGGUCUUGCAGGAGUUUGUGACUGUUGGACCUUGUCAUCCCUUGGGGUGCCCUGGUGAACUUGCAUUCCCUCAGAUCCCGAUGCACCCCCCUGAUGUACUUAUAGGCUGCCACCAAGUCCCCCCUGAGCCUGCGCUUCUCCAAGCUGAAGAGUCCCAUGGCUCACAGCCUCUCUUCAUAAAGCCUGUUCUCCUGCCAUCUGAUCAUGCGUGUGGCUCUCCUCUUUCAAGCUUCUCCAUGUCCUUCCUAAAUUGUGGAGCCCAGAACUGGAUGCAGUACUCCAGCUGCAGCCUCACCAAGGCACAGUACAAUGGGAGGAUGACAUCCUGGGUCUUGUUUGAGAUGCAUCAGUAAGAUGAGAUGCAAGCCAGAGUUUUGUUUGCUUUGCCAGCUGCAGUAUUGCAUUGGUGGCUCAUGUUCAUCUUGUGAUCAGUCAUGACCCCCAAGUCUUUUUCAGUCAUGAAAGAGCUCUUUUUCACUGGGGGAAGUGGCUCUGUUCCAUCACAAAUGCUACAUGCCCUGGGGAUAUGGAUGACCAAGGGGGCAUGGGUCCAUGACCUGGAAAGUAAAGGUAGAAACCUAGGAAACAACAUACAGGUUGGGGCAGACACCCUCUUUUGUGUUUGUGCAGUACUUACCAGACUGGGGUCCUGGUUCAUACCUAGGGCUUCUACAUCCUACAUUGAUAUGAACAAUAAAUUAUAAUAGUGAUGUGUCAGUAGUUUCACCUAUCAUUACUUAGUGCUGUGGGUCUAAUUCCUAAAUGCAGUCAGGGCUUCAGUUUUGCAUGUCACCAGCCUGGCCUUUCAUUAUUUGUCAAAACAAAACCCAUUAGUAACUAAUAACUUUCAUUUUUCUAACGAACAGAAUAUUUGAAAACAGGAAGUGAUCAUGCUGGAGCUUAUAGACAGUCUUCUGUGCACUGUCCAUUGCCCCCAAAAAGGGACUUUUAGUAACAUGUACACAAAGAAACUACUUUGUGUUUGAGUCCACCCAUGCUACUGCUUACAUAGCGUCAACAAUCUGCCACGGCACUCAGUUAAGUAUGAAAGCAAGGUCUCAGCUAGAAAGAGUUUCAUCACAGAAGUAAUUAAUAGAUAAAGGAUGUGUUUAAAUGAAAUGUAGGCAGUCAUGUUUAUUAUAUUUCUUGUUUGCAAAAUUCCCCAGAAUUUUUGCCAAGGAUUUGUUUUUUAAAUAGGAACUGAAGAUUUUUAGCAUCAGUUUUAAUGCUUCCUUCUGGGUUAAUGAGUUUAUAUAGAAAGUUGGGGUGAUGCGUUCCUGUAACUCGCAUAACCUUUUUCCUUAAGAAGCUGCUCCCGAGUUUUAACUACGUGGACAGGGGGGUCAAACUCAUUUGGGCCCUUGAGCCAGAAGAGUGGUGUCCCCUGCCAACACAUGCCUGAUCCAGCACAGGUGGCAUCUACCUGGGCCAGUCUGGGAUGCCAGAGCUUGGGAGCACCCUUAGUGGGUACCACAGGCAGUGCAGCCCAGGACCAGACUGAGUGCCAUGGGCGGCUACUUCCCUUACUGUGAGUGCAGCUGGUCCAGGGCAGCACCAUGGGUUGGAUUACAGGGCUCCACAGGCCAGAUCCAACCCAUAGGCCAUAUAUUUGACUUGCAUGAUAUGACAUCUAUGUCUUGACUCCCAAAACAAGCACUCUACUUCCAGUUUAGUAACGGCCUGAUAUCUUGCGGUGGUCAGAGGAAACGCUACACGGACACACUGAAGGCAGACCUCAAGAAAACGGAUGCCGACAUCAAGAGCUGGGAGGAGCUGGCUGCUGACCAACUCCAGUGGUGCUGCAACCAAGCAGCAACCUGUUUUGAGGUCACUGUUUGAGACUGUCCAGGCAGAAGACCACUACUCCAAAGAAGACACAGCGACUUGCCUUUCAGUAACCAGCUCUUAGGGUGAAGGGCACAAGAGAAACCAGGCAAAGGAUGCUGCAGAGCAGAAAAAAUAGUUCCAGUUGCCUGUCCUGGGAGUGCAUGAACAUCCUAGAGGGACAUAUAUAUGGACAGCACAUUACAAAGAAUGCCGGGUCCAGUGAAGUAAGUGAUCUCCUUGUCUUUCCUUUCAAUUUAAAAAAAAAAAAAAAAAUAAAUAAAAAACUGAAUAGGGAGAAAAAUUGGAGGAAGACCUGAAAGAGACUAGAAUUAGAAAGAAGAAAGUCAGUUCCACUUAGGUUUACUAACUCUACCGUAACUGAAUAACAACUGAGAUCGCAACCCCACGCAAACAAAGGGAAUGUCGAACAUUUGAGACUAGAAGGAUUUUUAUUCAACUUCUUGGAAACUUUCUUUUACCUUAUUCUUGGUAAUAUCUAUUUCAUUCUAAUCUCUGAUUAACCAUUUGGAUAAAAGAAGACUCAGCAUAUCUGUGUCUAUUAUGGAGCUGGCACUCGCACCAUAAAUCCUAUAGGUCCUCCACUAAAGGUAGGGAACCUUGAUGUUUCUAAAAUCAUUUUUUUAAAAAGCAAGGGUGGGGAUACUUAAAACGUAUGCUGUCUUGUAAACCUUCUUCAUCCAUCAUAAAGUAUAAAAACAGCACAGUCCCACUUAAGAUAAUUUGCAGGUUAGGUUUAAAGACAAUAUCACAUAGUUUAGGCCUAAAACUAAGCAUGGGGGGGAGGGGGAAUAGGCAAAAUAUGUAGUAGAAAAGACCCUGCAGUUCAGGAAACUUGAGUAAAUAAGAGUAAGGGAUGCAGGUUGGGGGUUUGAAACAGUCUACUGGCAAGGGUGGUAAACCCAGGCUGUCCCACUACCUGCAGCCCAUGGGCUCCAACCCAGGCACCAUUCCCCCUUCUGCUCUGGCUUCUGCUGCAGCCAGGAUCUCCAGUCUCUGGGCUCCUGCUCCCUCCUCCUGCUUCUGCUUCCCACCCCUGCCCCUGCCAGUACAGUAGGGCAGCACAGCCUGCAGCCUAGGGGCUCUUGGCCACUAAAAGGUUGGAUAGCCCUGCAUUAGAAAACAAUUUGUGCCCUUUUUCACAAGUCCUUUGCCUUUUUCACACUUGCAAUAAACAGGGUCAGGCUUUCCAGCACACGCUCAUAAACAUCCCGUGUAUUUUUAACCACCUGGUUUUGACAGCACUUCCUACAGGAAAUGCUGAUCUCACACGCUCCGACAGCAGCGCACCGAGCAUGACUGCUAAGCACCAGGCUGAAGGAAAUGCUAAUACUGAAACAAGUACACGGCUGCCUAGGGCAACAUGUGGGUUGUGGCUGUACCCCUCAGCACCUGCCAGCAACAAAGAAAAUUCAACUUGUACCAAUCACCUCUAAUAGGGCACCCCAUACAUGAAUUUCAUUCACUGGCAUGGGUAUAAAAAUGCAGACAGCAGCUAUGCCUAAAUAAAUCAGGCAGACUCAUGCAGAACAGAUUUUAUUGGUCAUGGGUUCAACCUCUAAAAAAACAUAUCACAGGCAGCAGGAUCUCUGCCAAGUCCUAACUCCCACAUAUAGUGGUAAACAGAAUGAGUAAGAUCACCUGAAAUAGUCACCUGACACUGACCUACGCUGCCAGAAAUGUGACAGCCACCCUCGGAGCUAAAGGGGGAUCUCCGUGAGAUGUCAGCAGGACAGAGCCUCUGACACUGCAGAAAUUAAUUCAACGUGAGUCAGGUGCAGAGGUGAACAUGAAAACGCGCGGUUUUCCUUGUCAGGGAAAGCAGGUAAGAGUCCCUUGUCUUCUACCAGAUGUUGGUUGGGAAGCUUUAUAUAAAGCCUUAGCAGUACAAAUGAAUGGCAACCACACACUAGUGGUCCCAGGCUUUACACUCCCCUAGUUCUCACGUGUCAAAAACUGCAGUAUAUGGAGAUUUACAAUAAUAGAAAUGGUUAGAGUGGAGGGCAAUGAAAAUGGUUGCGGGGCUGGAGCACACGACUUGUAAGGAGAGGCUGGGGGAACUGGGCUUAUUUAGUCUCAAGACGAGAAGACUGAGGGGGGAAUUAAUACCAGGGGGGUUCAAAAGAGGAUGGAGCUGGACUGUUCUCCGUCGGGGCAGAUGACAGGACAAGGAGCAAUGGGCUCAAGGUGCAGCAAGGAAGGUUUAGGUUGGAUAUUAGGAAAAACUCUUUCACUAGGAGGAUUGUAAAACAGUGGAGCAGGUUACCCAGAGAGGGGUGGAGUCUCCGUCCUUGGAGAUUUUUAAAGACCUGGCUACACAAAGCCUUGGCUGGGACGAUGUAGUUGGGGCUGGUCCUGCUUAGAGCAGGAGGUUAGACCAGAUGUGACCUCCUGAAAUGCCUUCCAACCCUCAUUUUCUGUGAUUUUAUGAAAGAAAAUGAGGUCCAGUUCUUAGGGAUUCCCUUUCCUUAGCUCUCCCCACUAGUUUUGUUUUGGGUUUUUUUGGUUUUUGUUGUUGUUGUUGUUGUUUGUUUUUUCUGGGGGGGGGGAGGGGGUGCAUAUUUUCUCCCAAAAAGCUAGAUCCACUUAGUCUGUUACAGAUGUGCUAAGACUGGGAACAGCUGUAACAGGGUGCAAACAUGACACCAGAUGCUUCACAGUGAAGCAUUUCACAAUGGUUCCCAUUUCAUCCACAGUCAUUUUUGAGUUGGAUAGGGCCAAUUUAAACUGCUUUUUCUGCAGGUGGCAUUUUCGGAGUACUUUAAAGACACCUAGAGCACUACAAAUCUUACAUCUACCCGUGCCCGCAGACUGAACCAGCAGUCUGCCUAGUCUGGCACCCAACUUCUGUCAGGGAUCAGUAAAAACUGCUGAAGAGGAAGUUCAAAAAACUUUUGCACAAAGUAGGUGUGGAGUAACUACCUGCAGGGAAGUAAUCUUUCCUAAAUUGAUUGGCAAGAAGCUAACUUUUGCAAAGGAGGAGGAUGGUGGAUAUCACUUCUAAACUUUGUUUUAAUUUAUAACAGUGUAAUAUUGUAGGACUUUUUCAUCCACAUAAAUGCUUAAAUGUUUUUUUUCACUGGGUUAGAAAUGUAUAGUACUCACCUCACACUUCCCUUUUACUUGCAAUAGCCACAAAAGGUCGAUUCUGUCCUUCAGGGAAUAUUUCUCUCUAAUUCAACACUUGUGGGAUGACAGAUCAGUGAAAAAGCAGCUCAAAUAGCGCCUUGUACAUGGUUGUCUGGAGAAUUGGGGACAUCAGAGAAAAGUCUGAAGUCUUUUUUUAAGAGACUGGGGGGUUUAGACACCUGAUGUUAGAGUCAAGUAUUUUCUUCCAAUCUGAGAUUUACUGGAAAAGUUUCAGACUACCUAACAGACCUGAAUAAAUUGCUAGUGAUUCAAGACCUUUAGGCCCAAGUGAGCGUGGCAGAUAUUCCCUAGAUGUAACAUCCAUCCCAUCCAGACCUGAGAUGAAGCAAAAACCCUCUCAGUUUAUGACAGAUUUUUCUGUUCUCCCUCAUGCCCGGGUUGCAUUCAGGACUCCUCACGAUCUGGGUUGCACUAAACGUGGGUUACUUGCUGACAAUCUUUCUUCUUUUUUGAAAAAAAGAAUUUCUCUCUUGAAGCAGCAUCUGCUUUGAACUGUUAGCAAGAUCAAGUGGCACAAAAAGGGAGUGGGGAUGGUGGCCAUCCCAAAUUUCUUAACAUCAGGGACAGGGCUCAGAUCUUUCUGCUUCAAAAGCUGCACGGGCUCUGCUGUAUUUGAACUGGAGGCGAAUCAGGUAGCAGAAGAUGGCAUGUGGCACACCUUUCUAAUGGAUACGUAUUCACAAUCUACAGAACAGAAAUGAUUGACCCCAUUGUGAAUAACUGACAAAUUACAGCUGUCUUUUUUUUCAUUUGUUAAAUGUCAACUAAUUGCGGGCAGUCCACAAAACAGGAAGAGGAUAUAAUCAUGGAAUAAGUUAUGUAUUCAGUCUGACUUUGCAGUGUCACUUGAAAAAUAAAAGUGGGGAUAGCCUUAGAGAAUAAACAAGACGUUUAACUGUGUCUAGGAGAACAGCAAGCAAAACGUAGGUGCAUCGUAGUGCCUGGAUGCACAGUCUCUUCGAGAGUCUGGGAAAGGCCUUAGCAGCUGCUCUAGUGUUAUCAUUAAACCAACAGCUCUGUCUGGAUAUCAGA